AGACGUCUACAAUAAGACCUACCUUAAACUUCAAAAGGAAAUGGAGGAGGCGGACGUCUACAAUAAGACCUACAAUAAACUUCAGAAGGAAAUUGAGGAGGCAGACGUCUACAAUAAGACCUACAAUAAACUUAAGAAGGAAAUAGAGGAGGCGGACGUCUACAAUAAGACCUACGAUAAACUUCAGAAGGAAAUGGAGGAGGCAGACGUCUACAAUAAGACCUACAAUAAACUUCAGAGGGAGAUGGAGGAGGCGGACGUCUACAAUAAGAC
rnacentral:lncRNA from 1 species